AUCAGAUCAAGUUUUUCACAAACAAAAAAUUAACAACGGAUCCAAGAUUGGCAAAGUUGUGUGCCAUUUGUUGUGAUAUAAGGCUUGCUGCUGUCUAUGAUGAAAAAUUUGAUGAAAAUAUUAUAGUCUUGUCUGAUGUGCUUCUGAAUGGUAUUUAAGUCGUCUCAAGUAUUAUGUCGAAGGACUGUCCACUCAACUUUUAGACGGGGAGCCUUGGAGUAACUGGUAAAGUUGCUGGUCACGGGUUCAAGCCUUGGAAACAACCCCUUGCAGAAAUGUAAGAUGAAUUUGGGUGGUACAAUCGGCUAAAAGUGGCAAUUCAACUUGCAAAUCUCUUACUAUCCUUGCAUGAAAAGGAUAUUAUAUUAGGCAGUGUUACUGCAUCAUGCGUUAUGAUACUAGAUAAGGAAAUGAAUAUAAAACUAUUCGACUAUGGUCCUGUUCCUGAUCGUUUUUACGGAAAAAAUUCUGAUGUAACUAUUUAUUGUCGUCCCAUCAAUGAUAUGUAAUGCCUCGUCUACCAUGUAGCUUGAGGUUUGGGUUUGUGUGGCUCCGAAAGUGAAGAGUCCGAACAACUUAGUUUAUUAUUGUGCUGGUUAGGUCUAGUUGUUAACAACGGUAUCCAAACAUAAGCAUGAAGAUAUAUCUCGUACUUGAGUCAUGGAGGAACAAUUAUUUAAUGUCCUUAAGAUCUGAUCUCUUGAUUCCUGA